AUAAGAAUAGCCUGGGGACCUUGUUAAAAUGAAGAUUCUAAUUCAGUAGGUGUGGGAGGGGCUUAAAGUCUACAUUUCUAACAAGCUUCCAGGUGAUAAUGAU
rnacentral:pre_miRNA from 1 species